GGCUUUUCCGCGGCCACGGGAGGUGAAGGGAAGUGUCAGUCGCUAGCCUCCCUGAGCCGGCUCGGCCAGCGCGGGUGCUCAGGAACUUCUGUCCCGUGGGAUCUGAGGAUAAGGAUGCUGCUGGCUUAGCUUCAAGAGGCUCUUCUGUCUCACAAAUGGAGCUUCCUGAUCCAACUGAAGACCGCAGUCAGAGGCCAGGCAUUGUCUUGGAAGGCCACGCUGCAGAGGCUCUGGGUCAGAUGGUACAAGUUCAGACUGUGGUGCCAAACACCGAAGUCCAGUUCAUUGUCUGUCUUUAGGAAUAGCACUAAACUAUUGCUGAACAGAGAUUUGGACACUGAAGUGAAAUGGACUGUGAGGUCCUUACUCAUUAAGGAAGAAACUCACUGGUCAAUGUGAUAAAUAAAUGCUUUCUCAGAGAUGCUGCAGGCAUGAGCUUUUCUAAUGAGACGUUUAUGAAGAAUCAAUGAGAUCUCUACUAACUUCCAGAGACAAGAAUCUCUGAAAGUAUAAUUAUGAAGAAACUGAUCCUUGGAGACUGAAUAAAAAUCAAUAUGAACAGCAAAAAGGUGUUUUUUUCAGUUUCCUAUCUUGGCUGAUAUU